rnacentral:rRNA from 1 species
AAUACUUAGGAAUCUGCCUAUUAGUGGGGGACAACGUUUCGAAAGGAACGCUAAUACCGCAUACGCCCUACGGGGGAAAGGAUGGGACCUUCGGGCCAUUCGCUAAUAGAUGAGCCUAAGUCGGAUUAGCUAGUUGGUAGGGUAAAGGCCUACCAAGGCGACGAUCUGUAGCGGGUCUGAGAGGAUGAUCCGCCACACUGGGACUGAGACACGGCCCAGACUCCUACGGGAGGCAGCAGUGGGGAAUAUUGGACAAUGGGGGCAACCCUGAUCCAGCCAUGCCGCGUGUGUGAAGAAGGCCUUUUGGUUGUAAAGCACUUUAAGCGAGGAGGAGGGUACCCUAGUUAAUAGCUAGGUGUGCCGGACGUUACUCGCAGAAUAAGCACCGGCUAACUCUGUGCCAGCAGCCGCGGUAAUACAGAGGGUGCGAGCGUUAAUCGGAUUUACUGGGCGUAAAGCGUGCGUAGGCGGCUAAUUAAGUCGGAUGUGAAAUCCCCGAGCUCAACUUGGGAAUUGCAUUCGAUACUGGUUAGCUAGAGUAUGGGAGAGGAUGGUAGAAUUCCAGGUGUAGCGGUGAAAUGCGUAGAGAUCUGGAGG